rnacentral:rRNA from 1 species
UACGUAGGGUGCAAGCGUUGUCCGGAAUUAUUGGGCGUAAAGAGCUCGUAGGCGGUCUGUCGCGUCUGCUGUGAAAACCUAGGGCUUAACUCUGGGCGUGCAGUGGGUACGGGCAGGCUAGAGUGCGGGUAGGGGGAGACUGGAAUUCCUGGUGUAGCGGUGAAAUGCGCAGAUAUCAGGAGGAACACCGGUGGCGAAGGCGGGUCUCUGGGCCGUAACUGACGCUGAGGAGCGAAAGCAUGGGGAGCGAACAGG